ACGGGUGAGUAACGCGUGGGAACAUACCCUUUCCUGCGGAAUAGCUCUGGGAAACUGGAAUUAAUACCGCAUACGCCCUACGGGGGAAAGAUUUAUCGGGGAAGGAUUGGCCCGCGUUGGAUUAGCUAGUUGGUGGGGUAAAGGCCUGCCAAGGCGACGAUCCAUAGCUGGUCUGAGAGGAUGAUCAGCCACAUUGGGACUGAGACACGGCCCAAACUCCUACGGGAGGCAGCAGUGGGGAAUAUUGGACAAUGGGCGCAAGCCUGAUCCAGCCAUGCCGCGUGAGUGAUGAAGGCCUUAGGGUUGUAAAGCUCUUUCACCGAUGAAGAUAAUGACGGUAGUCGGAGAAGAAGCCCCGGCUAACUUCGUGCCAGCAGCCGCGGUAAUACGAAGGGGGCUAGCGUUGUUCGGAAUUACUGGGCGUAAAGCGCACGUAGGCGGAUAUUUAAGUCAGGGGUGAAAUCCCGCAGCUCAACUGCGGAACUGCCUUUGAUACUGGGUAUCUUGAGUAUGGAAGAGGUAAGUGGAAUUCCGAGUGUAGAGGUGAAAUUCGUAGA
rnacentral:rRNA from 1 species